rnacentral:rRNA from 1 species
UACGGGGGGGGGCAAGCGUUAAUCGGAAUUACUGGGCGUAAAGCGUGCGCAGGCGGCUUUGCAAGACAGAUGUGAAAUCCCCGGGCUUAACCUGGGAACUGCAUUUGUGACUGCAUGGCUGGAGUGCGGCAGAGGGGGGAUGGAAUUCCGCGUGUAGCAGUGAAAUGCGUAGAUAUGCGGAGGAACACCGAUGGCGAAGGCAAUCCCCUGGGCCUGCACUGACGUCAUGCACGAAAGCGUGGGG